rnacentral:rRNA from 1 species
CUCAGAGUGAACGCUGGCGGUAGGCCUAACACAUGCAAGUCGAACGGCAGCACAGUAAGAGCUUGCUCUUAUGGGUGGCGAGUGGCGGACGGGUGAGGAAUACAUCGGAAUCUACCUUUUCGUGGGGGAUAACGUAGGGAAACUUACGCUAAUACCGCAUACGACCUUCGGGUGAAAGCAGGGGACCUUCGGGCCUUGCGCGGAUAGAUGAGCCGAUGUCGGAUUAGCUAGUUGGCGGGGUAAAGGCCCACCAAGGCGACGAUCCGUAGCUGGUCUGAGAGGAUGAUCAGCCACACUGGAACUGAGACACGGUCCAGACUCCUACGGGAGGCAGCAGUGGGGAAUAUUGGACAAUGGGCGCAAGCCUGAUCCAGCCAUACCGCGUGGGUGAAGAAGGCCUUCGGGUUGUAAAGCCCUUUUGUUGGGAAAGAAAAGCAGUCGAUUAAUACUCGGUUGUUCUGACGGUACCCAAAGAAUAAGCACCGGCUAACUUCGUGCCAGCAGCCGCGGUAAUACGAAGGGUGCAAGCGUUACUCGGAAUUACUGGGCGUAAAGCGUGCGUAGGUGGUUGUUUAAGUCUGUUGUGAAAGCCCUGGGCUCAACCUGGGAAUUGCAGUGGAUACUGGGCGACUAGAGUGUGGUAGAGGGUAGUGGAAUUCCCGGUGUAGCAGUGAAAUGCGUAGAGAUCGGGAGGAACAUC